AUUGAACGCUGGCGGCAUGCCUUACACAUGCAAGUCGAACGGCAGCACGGGAGCAAUCCUGGUGGCGAGUGGCGAACGGGUGAGUAAUAUAUCGGAACGUGCCCGGUCGUGGGGAUAACGUAGCGAAAGCUACGCUAAUACCGCAUACGAUCUACGGAUGAAAGCGGGGGAUCGCAAGACCUCGCGCGAUUGGAGCGGCCGAUAUCAGAUUAGGUAGUUGGUGAGGUAAAGGCUCACCAAGCCGACGAUCUGUAGCUGGUCUGAGAGGACGACCAGCCACACUGGGACUGAGACACGGCCCAGACUCCUACGGGAGGCAGCAGUGGGGAAUUUUGGACAAUGGGCGCAAGGCCUCGAUCCACGCAAUGCCGCGUGCAGGAUGAAGGCCU
rnacentral:rRNA from 1 species